UUGAGUUCAUUCUUUGUUGAAUCUCGUUUGGCAGAGAAUACCUCUAGAUUUUUUGCAAGGUGGCAAAUUUAGAGCAGCAGCAGAUAAUUACAUUAGGCCUCCCUUAACUAAGGGAGUUCCAUCUCUUUUCUCUGAUCUUUCGUCUUUGUAUAAUCACCCUGGGAAGGCAGACAUUUUGGAAUAACUUAUUCUUGUAUUUUUUCACAGCGCUCUUCAAGCUAAGGUAUAUUAAAGAUCAGAUAGCGAAGUAGGCAGCUUAAUUGCUUCAGUGAAUAUAGGUUUUAAAGGCUAGCUAGUAAUUAAUUACUACUGUAUAUAUAGAUAGAGAGUGGUCACUACUACAGCCUGUAUGUUCUUGUUUAAUUAUUUGUUUUUAGUUGUGUGUAUAUUUAAAUGUUUGCAUCCUUGUUUUGGU